rnacentral:lncRNA from 1 species
AUGCAGGCAGAUGAGCAGGUGGUCUUGGUGUCUUCAGCAUUCCGUCUCCUGCUAGGUGGCUUCCCCAUCGUAAGCCUGUCAGCCUGGUGGUCUUCCCCGUGGUGGUCCUACCUGAAGAUCCUCUUCCCCCUCCUGUGGUUUCAGACGAAGCUCGUCCACCAACACUGGGAGAGAGGUUCUUAACGGCUGCCUUAGCAUGUGGGAACCUGGCUGGCUUUCAGCGGGGCCGCUGAGGGAUGGCGAGUGCUUUGAGCUUUGGCAAAGUCUGACAGGCAGGCAGUGUUGGCAUGAAACAAAGGUUUUCUGCCUGGCAAAACUGCUUCUUGAUCAUGACCGAGGAAUGCUCUCUUCCCAAAAAUGGCACCCCAACCAUAUUCCAGCUCUGGCUCCUUCCCACAGUCCCUUCCCAUACACGUCCAGCCACACAGGAGAGGGUGGUUAGUGUUACAGCUGCUGUUACUAAUGGCUUCAUUCCUGCAGAGAACUCAGCAGUUCAGGGGGGUGGCACUUUUAUAUGUAACCUCCAUUAUUUCAGUAGUCUCCUAGACCUCUGGAGUAAGUACUGACCUAAAACGCAGCUCAUUUGCAUGUAGAUGUGAAAGAGGAUCAGGGAAAAUGGCUCACCCAGUAAAGCGCUUGCUCUGCAAGCCUCCAUGGAACCCACAGAAAAGCCGGGUGCGCAUGGCAGCUCACCGUCAUCCCACACGGGAGAGGUGGAAACAGGGUCCCUGGAGCAAGCUGCCCAGUGGAAGUUCUUAGUGAGCUCUGGUUCUAGGGAGAGUCCUACAUUAAUAUUUAAAGUAAGGAGCCAAGCAGGAAGAUACUUAAUGUUAGCCUGAGGCCUCUACAUGCAUGCACCCACGUGUGCACCCUCACACAGCCUCUGAACAUCCAGACACACAUGUACCCAUCCGGGCAUAUAAAACAUGAAAAUAAAGUAGAAGAAAAUCUAGCUCAGAGCAACGCUGUCUUUUUCCCAAGGACUUGAAAUGGAAAUCAAAUACUAACCUCUUCCCCAAGUUCUUCUGAAGCCGGUUCUAAAGUAAAGACUGUUAGGGACCAGCAAAGGUUAUGUUUCUAACAUCUGAAAUUAGAAGUUUCUUCUCUCCCCCUGAAGAUGGACUCCCUUCACAACCCAGUGAGAGUCAUUCCUUAUGUUCUUUCUUCCUUUUUUUUUUCUCCUUUGUUUUUUAAAUACACACACACACACACACACACACACACACACACACACACACACACACACAUACACACACUCACUGUAGUUGUCUUCAGACACACCAGAAGAGGGAAUCAGAUUCUAUUACAGUUGGUUGUGAGCCACCAUGUGGUUGCUGGGAUUUGAACUCAGGACCUCUGGAAGAGCAGUCAGUGCUCUUAACCUCUGAGCCAUCUCUCCAACCCUCUAACGUUCUUUCUGAUGCCCUCUACCAUCUCCCGUGUCCUGUCUUCUCCGUGCUUGAGGUGAUGGGUUAGUCUAGUCUCAUUUCAUGUCUGCCUGCUAAGGGAGGAGUAAACUAAUUAAGAGAUUGCUCGAAUCCCCCAACAAAGUGUCCUUUCCUCUCUCCUGAAAAGAAUUUUACUCUUUGGUAUCCUGACCUUAGGCACCGGACUCCC